rnacentral:snRNA from 1 species
GAUAGCUGGAGCUCGGACGCGAGU